rnacentral:lncRNA from 1 species
AAAAGGUGGGGGGUUAACGGUCGUGUCCCCAACGGUCACCAACGUUCACCUAUUCUGGAGCUGUCACGCUAGUGACAGAAGGUGUUACGGGCGUCAUGUGCAUUUGCGUGACGUUCGUGAUGGCUUGUGUUACGCUCGUCACAUAGGUGCUUGCAACGGUCACUGGCACUCUGCUUACGUGGGUGCUUCAUGAAUUAUUUUUAUUAUUAUUAUUAUUUUUAUUAUUUUUAGUUUAUGUUUACCUUAAUUUCUAUUGUAAUAUUUUUGAAUUUC